ensembl:ncRNA lncRNA:CR45745 long non-coding RNA:CR45745
GAUCUUCCAAUUUGAUUAAGGUGCUAUUAAGUUCGAUCUUAUCUUACGGUGCUAUGUACAGUGAAAUACGCUUGGUUAGUUUAAGUUUCCUUAACUUCCCCCUCUCGAAUCCCCAAAAUUCCCUCGACACUCUGACAAUCCUUAGCUGCCCAAAAACAUAAUCCAUUAUUGUACUAAAAGUCUCUAGGAAUCCAUUGUACGCUAACGUUUAACUAAAUUAUGAAUAACUACGAGUAUUUCCAUUAAGUCUACUCUAAUUAGUUUCUCUUCCAUCGCAAAAAAUACGAAAAAU